AUGCAUCAUAUCCCUUCCUGUCUCCCAUGGCUUAGCCGUCAUCACAGGAACCUUCUCAGACACUCUGCGAGUGAUCAUGAUGUCCACAUGAAAUCCAGCAGGACCGAGCACGAAACCCGGCUCUGCAGCCCUGCAGUCACUGAGAUGACUAACACUGUCAACUGGAUGGGAUCUUACAUCACCUAGGAGACAAGCCUCUGGCUGUGCCUUUGUGGGAUGGUCUGGCUAGGUGAACUGAGUUUGGAAGACCCACCUUAACCAUCCCAUGGCACCAGCCCAUGGCCUGGACUCCUGGACAGAUAGAAAGGAGACAGUGAACCGGGUCCUAGCAUCCAUCAUGCGCUGCACCCUGACUGUUGAUGGAAUAUGACCAGCUGUCUCUGGGUCCUACUAUUCUGCUUCCCUACCUCCUUGGGCGCAUGUCCUUAAACCAAAACCCCCAAAUAGACCCUUCCCCCUUUACAUUGUUGUUUUGUUUGCUUGUUUUAUUUUGUUAGGGUAUUUUAUCUCAGCUACAGGAGAGAUGAUCAAGACAAUCAUCCAGUUUACACUUGUCACAAGAGCAGUCCUUUGCCCUGGACGACAGUCCUCCGCGUGUCCUGUUCUCUAGCUUGCUAGAAAAAUUCUCUGGGAAUGUCAGUUCACUCCCUGUCUUUUGUGACCACAUAUUCUCCUCUAGGACACCUGCUUUGCUUGUCUGGAGGGUGCAUGUGAGUGGCUAUAGGAGGGGAUCUCAAAGGCUGACCCCCUGGGUCUUUUGUAUGUGUGGAAUCCCUUCUCCCACCCACCCCCAACUUGGUUAGUUUAUCUAGAAUUCUGGGCUUGGGGUUAUUUUUCCAGAGUGUUGACUCAGAACAUACUGUUUGGUGGUGACUGGGAGGCCAUGGCUUUGUAGGGGGCCAGCAUUGCUCCUCACUGGUUUGGUGGCUUUUAGUGUCUCCUUAAUCCUCAGUGUUUUCUCAGUUCUCUUUGGGAUGUGAGGGGCUUUGACUUCAUUUCUCAGCUUUGAGUUGUAAGGGGGGAGGUAUGUGUGGCCUCAUUUUAUAACUUUUACAAGUUCCAGACAGUUAUCUUUUCUGGUUUUUCUUUGUUGUUAUCUCCUGUUCAUAUUCUGCACACUGAUUUCCUAGAGUCUGUAAAUGGAAGGUCCACCCACUGGAUUGAUCUUUUCUGGCCCUCCCCACCC
rnacentral:lncRNA from 1 species